AUUGAACGCUGGCGGCAUGCCUUACACAUGCAAGUCGAACGGCAGCGGGGGAGAAGCUUGCUUUUCCUGCCGGCGAGUGGCGAACGGGUGAGUAAUACAUCGGAACGUGCCCUGUAGUGGGGGAUAACACGUCGAAAGAUUAGCUAAUACCGCAUACGACCCGAGGGGGAAAGUGGGGGACCGCAAGGCCUCAUGCUAUAGGAGCGGCCGAUGUCUGAUUAGCUAGUUGGUGGGGUAAAGGCCUACCAAGGCGACGAUCAGUAGCUGGUCUGAGAGGACGAUCAGCCACACUGGGACUGAGACACGGCCCAGACUCCUACGGGAGGCGGCAGUGGGGAAUUUUGGACAAUGGGCGAAAGCCUGAUCCAGCCAUGCCGCGUGUCUGAAGAAGGCCUUCGGGUUGUAAAGGACUUUUGUCGGGGAGGAAAUCCCCAGCGUUAAUACCGCUGGGGGAUGACAGUACCUGAAGAAUAAGCACCGGCUAACUACGUGCCAGCAGCCGCCGUAA
rnacentral:rRNA from 1 species